GAUGAACGCUGGCGGCGUGCCUAAUACAUGCAAGUCGAGCGAAAGGACGAGAAGCUUGCUUCUCGGAUGUUAGCGGCGGGGGGGUGAGUAACACGUGGAUAACCUCCCUAUAAGACUGGGAACAUUUCGGGAAACCGUAGCUAAUACCGUAUAAUCUCUUGCUCCGCAUGGUUCAAAAGAGAAAUACGGUCUUGCUGUAACUUCUAGAGGGAUAUCCGCUGCAUUAGCUGGUUGGUAGGGUAACGGCUUACCACGGCAACGAUGCGUAGCCGACGUGACAGGGUGGUCGGCGACAUGGGAAGUGAGACACGGACAUGGCUCCUACGGGAGGCCGCAGUAGGGAAUCUGACGCAAUGGGCGAGAGUAUGACAGAGCGGCGGGGCGUGAGAGGUGAAAAAGUUCGGAGCGUAAAGCCCGGUUAUGAGUUGAGAACAUAUGUGGAAGGAGCUGUGGAGAGAGUGACGGUACCUAAUCAAGAAGCCCCGGCUAACUACGUG
rnacentral:rRNA from 1 species